rnacentral:piRNA from 1 species
AAACACUGCAUGACCCCUUCAGUCCUGU